rnacentral:rRNA from 1 species
AGUGAACGCUGGCGGCAGGCCUAACACAUGCAAGUCGAACGGCAGCACAAGAGAGCUUGCCCUCUGGGUGUCGAGUGGGGCGGGGGUGUGAAAUGCAUAUGACUCUCCUCAUUUGCGGGGGAUAACUCGGGGAAACCGGGACUAUUACCGCAUACAACCUACGCGGGAAAGCACAGGAUCUUCGGACCUUGUGCAUGUGGAUGAGCCGAGGCCGCAUUAGCUAGUUGGUGGGGUAAAGGCCCACCAAGGCGACGAUCCGUAGCUGGUCUGAGAGGAUGAUCAGCCACACUGGAACUGAGACACGGCCCAGACUCCUACGGGAGGCAGCAGUGGGGAAUCUUGGACAAUGGGCGAAAGCCUGACCCAGCCACGCCGCGUGUGUGAAGAAGGCCUUCGGGUUGUAAAGCUCUUUUGUUGGGAAAGAAAAGCAGCCGGUUAAUCCCCGGAUGUCUUGACGGUACCCAAAGAAUAAGCACCGGCUAACUUCGUG